ensembl:lncRNA
GGCUUUUGUUUGUUACCCCAUUCAAGGUACCACUGCUGCCGGGAUGGGGGGACAAUGGGCUUUCUCUUCACUGAAACACAGCCCCUAAUGUCAGCACGCAGGACCACAGCUACUGAAAGUCUUAAUGUUGUCACAGUAAGCAUCUUUCUUGAGAAGCGGCGAGAAGGCCCUGAAAGCUUUGCUUCUUUUGUAAGCUAACAACAAAAGAAGGAAGUUGCCUGGCAAGAUCCUGGCUGCAACUCACAUCUUCAAGAACUCAGCUAUGUCAUAGUGCCAUCUGAAUAGCCCCUGGGAUUAAACAGCAGCAAGGGACUAGAAACACAAGAAGCAGCCACCCUGUUUGGGCAGGGAACCUAUGCUGGUGAUGAAUGUAUUUUUCAGAUGGGACUGAGUUUAUGAAGAUAGAUGGAGAAGGGGGAAGCUUUUCCCUCAUAUUCCAGUGAGGGAGUUCUACUAGUUUUACUAGUUCUCCCUAGUUUUACUAGUUCUCCCUAGUUCUACUAGGGAACAGAGGCAUGGCACUUACUGCCCAGGGGCAGGGAGGAGCUAGCAGUUCCGCAGAGUCCUUUGCACUGUGAAACUUGACCAAUGCAGUUAUCAGAUGAUUUCCAUUGAGAAACUGCUCGGAGAAUCAUCCUAGCCUUUACCUACACCACUAUUCACUCAACAGAGAGUUCUUCAUUAAGUAGCCAAGAGAAGGUAGAAGCCUCACCUGGACCCGUUACAUCGUAUACGAACUGGUUGGUCUGUAGCACUUAGAAAACAUGGUCCCAGCAUUCUUUCACUUAACUACUUUGGCCUAUGGAAUAUGAUGGAGAUGUCAGUAGUUACUUUCUAGUUAGGUCACAAAUGAGAAAAGCAGGUUCUGCCUUGUGUCUGGAGAAUGCCACCCGGGAAGGGUGUGUCCCUGUGGGAGGAACCUGUGGAUGGAAGAAGCCAUGGCAGGAGGAAAGAAAAGUCUGUGAAAGGCCACACGCAAGCUUCCCAACAGACCCAGAAACACCAAGAAGAACGUUUGGCCAAACGCUGGGAGCCGUGAUCCAGCUUUGUCGACACCAACUCAGGAACCAACCCGAGCAGUGCCAUGGAGGAAGAUUACAGCGUUUCUGCCAGCCACACAAAGGAUGUUCUUGCUCUGACUUUUCUUCUGCUGUUUUUCCCAUCUAAUGAGACGAGCACUGACUUAGGAAAUGAAGACCCCAGCAUCCCCGUUCAAUACCACAGAGAUAAAUCACGAGCUGCAUUUUUUUAAUACUUUGCUGUGUGAGAGGCUUAUGCAUAUGCGUCUCUAACUCUUCUUCUACAUUAAUUAAAAGACAGUUCCAAACAGACAAAGGGAAGGAGACAUUUUUCUCCCGUCUCUCUUAGAAACACAGGCCUAGCCUUAGCCAUUAUGUUCAGACAGCCUCGGCCCCUCAGUUUCUUUCCUCUGGAGCUUUGCAGCAUGGGGCUUAAAGGGAGCUUUUGAGGCAAGGGGAGAGGCAAGCCUGGCCUCCCUUCCCUGUCAGUUUUGUCUCCCCGCGUUUUCCAGGAUCAGUUUGUUUACACUUAAAGAGGAAACAGUAUUUUUCUUAAGUGAGAAAUACUA